GAUUUGCUUUACAUACACACCUAGCUCCUUUCAGCUGGACACUGAAACUUUCAUUUUAUUUCUUCACCUGCCACUCAGGCUUCACACAAGAUACCAACUAUGCCGAAGAUCUUGAUCCUCCCAGCGCUGCUUGUUUUGCUUAUGCCUCCUCUCAGACAAGCCCAAGAGGAUCUAAUUGGGGACAAAUCUGAGGAAUCUGGUGCCUUUGAAUCUGGGCAAGCAAGUGAGGAGUUUAGUGGAGAAGCAAGUGGGGAACCUAGUGGACAAGUCAGUGGAGAGUUAGGCUGGGAGCCCAGUGGGCAACCUAUGGGUCAAUCCAGCCUCCCUGAAGAAAGCAGUGGAAGUGGAUCUGACCCCUCAUAUGAAAUAGAUUGAAGUGGAUGAAACGUCCCCCCCGACUCCCUUCACAUCAUCAGCUGCAUUGAAGGAAAAUUCAAGCCUCAAAAUGAGAAACACAACUUCACCCUUGAGAAAUGAGUGUAUAGAGCAUUAGAAAGAGUGCUGAUGAGUUUGUUACAUUUCUAAUAUUUGUGAUUAUUCUCUUAAUAAAGUAUUUAGGGUGCAUUAUAUUCUAAAAAGU
rnacentral:lncRNA from 1 species